rnacentral:rRNA from 1 species
AGGUAUUGAAUGGCCGCAGUAUUUUAACUGUGCUAAGGUAGCAUAAUCAUUUGUCUUUUAAUUGAGGGCUGGAAUGAAGGGUUGGACGAAGUAUUAUCUUUCUUUAAUUUAAUUUGGGGAAUUUAAUUUUUAAGUCAAAAAGCUUAAAUUUAUUUGUUGGACGAGAAGACCCUAUAGAUCUUUAUAAUUCUUUUAUUUUAACAAUUUAGUGAUUUAAAUGUUUGGAAUUAAUGUGAUUAUUUUGUUGGGGUGACUGUAGAAUUGAAAUAACUUCUAUUAUAUUUUUUCAUUGAUUUAUGUUAUUGUUGAUCCAUAUUUUAUGAUUAUAAGAUUAAGUUACCUUAGGGAUAACAGCGUAAUUUCCUCGGAGAGUUCAUAUUGAUGAGGGAGUUUGCGACCUCGAUGUUGGAUUAA